GUGAAUCAUCAAAUUUUUGAACGCAAAUUGCACUCUCUGGUAUUCCGGAGGGUAUGUCUAUUUAAGGUUCAUUGGAUAUAAUAUAAAUUGCGAGAUCUCUCGGAAUUUAAAAUGGGUUGUCCGUUUUUGGUUGUCUCCUAAAAUCCAAGACAAGCUCAGUUUCUUGGGUUGCGUGAGACUUUCAGUUACCUCGUGACUUAACCAGGAAUCAUCGGGCUUGUUAUGAAUUUUGCUAGAGAUAAUAAAUUCCAUAGAUUUAUACGCUGCGCAAUAGAAAUCGAGUCAU
rnacentral:misc_RNA from 1 species